rnacentral:rRNA from 1 species
UACAGGGGGCUCGAGCGUUAGUCGGAAUCACUGGGCUUAAAGGGUGCGUAGGCGGCUCGCCAAGUGCUUUGUGAAAUCCCACAGCUCAACUGUGGAACAGCAGGGCAAACUGGCGAGCUUGAAGCAGGUAGGGGCUGGAAGAACAGUAGGUGGAGCGGUGAAAUGCGUAGAUAUCGUAAGGAAGACCAGUGGCGAAGGCGGGUCUCUGGACAGUUCCUGACGCUGAGGCACGAAGGCCAGGGGAGCAAACGGG